rnacentral:lncRNA from 1 species
GCUACCAACAGCAACUUGUCCCUGGAAUGAGGCCUGGUGGUGCCCCAAUGCCAAAUUUCUUUGUUCCUCUUGUUCAGCAGGGUCAGCAAGGCCAGCGACCUGGAGGGCGACGUGGGGGUGGGCCUGUUCAACAGACCCAGCAGCCAGUCCCUCUCAUGCAGCAACAGGUCAGUAGAAGAUAUUUUGAAUUUAUCAUGUUCAUAUAUUCCAUGUUCUUUAUAUUAAGAGUACUAUUGUUUUGGUUUGUCCCAGAUGCUUCCGAGGGGACGAGUGUAUCGUUACCCACCAGGUCGCAACAUGCCAGAUGUACCAAUGCCAGGUGUUGCUGGAGGCAUGCUUUCUGUUCCUUAUGACAUGGGCGGCAUGCCAAUACGUGAUGCCA